CGUGUAGGCGGCCCGACAAGUGGUGUGUGAAAUCCCCUGGCUCAACCAGGGAACUGCGCUCCAAACUGUCGGGCUUGAGGGCAGUAGAGGAAACUGGAAUUCCAGGUGUAGCGGUGAAAUGCGUAGAUAUCUGGAGGAACACCAUUGGCGAAGGCGAGUUUCUGGGCUGUCCCUGACGCUGAGGCGCGAAAGCUGGGGGAGCAAACAGGAUUAGAUACCCUGGUAGUCC
rnacentral:rRNA from 1 species